rnacentral:rRNA from 1 species
AGCCACUGCUAUUGGGAUCCGACUAAGCCAUGCGAGUCGAGAGGGUUCGGCCCUCGGCAGACUGCUCAGUAACACGUGGAUAAUCUACCCUUAGGUGGAGGAUACUCUCGGGAAACUGAGAAUAAUACUCCAUAGAUCUAGGAUGCUGGAAUGCAUCUAGGUUGAAAGUUCCGGCGCCUAAGGAUGAGUCUGCGGACUAUCAGGCUGUAGUCAGGGUAAAGACCUGACUAACCUACGACGGAUACGGGUUGUGAGAGCAAUAACCCGGAGACGAUAUCUGAGACACGAUAUCGGGCCCUACGGGGCGCAGCAGGCGCGAAACCUUCACACUGUGCGAAAGCGCGAUGAGGGGAUCCCAAGUGCUUGCACGUAAGUGUAAGCUGUUUCUGUGUCUAAAAAGCAUAGAGAGUAAGGGCUGGGUAAGACGGGUGCCAGCCGCCGCGGUAAUACCUGCAGCUCAAGUGGUGACCGCUAUAUUGGGCCUAAAACGUCCGUAGCCGGUUUAGUAAAUGCCUGGGUAAAUCGUGUAGCUUAACUAUACGAAUUCCGGGUAGACUGCUAAACUUGAGACCGGGAGAGGCUAGAGGUACUCCUGGGGUAGAGGUGAAAUUCUGUAAUCCUAGGGGGACCACCAGUGGCGAAGGCGUCUAGCUAGAACGGGUCUGACGGUGAGGGACGAAGCCCUGGGGCGCAAACCGGAUUAGAUACCCGGGUAGUCCAGGGUGUAAACGCUGCUUGCUUGAUGUUAGUUGGGCUCCGAGCCCAACUAGUGUCGGAGAGAAGUUGUUAAGCAAGCUGCCUGGGAAGUACGGUCGCAAGACUGAAACUUAAAGGAAUUGGCGGGGGAGCACAGCAACGGGUGGAGCGUGCGGUUUA